GCUUGCUUCCCGUAANAANUUGAGUGGCGGACGGNUGAGUAACACGUGGGUAACCUGCCUAAAAGAAGGGGAUAACACUUGGAAACAGGUGCUAAUACCGUAUAUCUCUAAGGAUCGCAUGAUCCUUAGAUGAAAGAUGGUUCUGCUAUCGCUUUUAGAUGGACCCGCGGCGUAUUAACUAGUUGGUGGGGUAACGGCCUACCAAGGUGAUGAUACGUAGCCGAACUGAGAGGUUGAUCGGCCACAUUGGGACUGAGACACGGCCCAAACUCCUACGGGAGGCAGCAGUAGGGAAUCUUCCACAAUGGACGCAAGUCUGAUGGAGCAACGCCGCGUGAGUGAAGAAGGUCUUCGGAUCGUAAAACUCUGUUGUUAGAGAAGAACACGAGUGAGAGUAACUGUUCAUUCGAUGACGGUAUCUAACCAGCAAGUCACGGCUAACUACGUGCCAGCAGCCGCGGUAAUACGUAGGUGGGCAAGCGUUGUCCCGGAUUUAUUGGGCGUAAAGGGAACGCAGGGGGUCUUUUAAGUCUUGAUGUGAAAGCCUUCGGCUUAANCCGGAGUAGUGCAUUGGNAAACUGGAAAGACUUGGAGUGCAGAAAAAAGGAGAGUGGAACUCCCUUGGUGUAGCGGUGAAAUGCGUANAANUUUUUUGGAAANAACACCAGUGGCGAANGCGGCNUCUCUGGUCUGUACCUGGNACGCUNAGGGUUCNAAAAGCGUGGGUAGCAAACAGGAUUAGAAANACCCUGGUAGUCCACGCCGUAACANAAAAAGNUNANGNGNNUUNGNANGGUUUCCCCCCUUUCAGUGCCGCANCUNACGCAUAACAUUCCCCCUGGGGACAC
rnacentral:rRNA from 1 species